UCUUACGAACUUCUCAGUUUUCUCACUUAGGAUGUUCUUAGAUUUUUAUCUUAAGAACGCUCGCGAGGUUUUUGAACCAACAGUUGACCGACAGUUGAGAGAAAUUGAUUUGUGAAAAAUGGAGGACAUCGCCUGUAAACGAAGCAAAAACUUCUCCAAACAGGAGUUGGAGGUGAUGGUCGAUGAGAUCAUCAUCCGAAAAAGAUUAUUGUUUGGCAAGCUAGACAGUAUGAUAACGUCGGAAAACAAAAAGAGGGCGUGGGCCAAAGUUCCCCAGACUGUAUCUGCAGUGGCGGAUAUAGGAAUCGUUCGAGAUGUCAACGCUGUAAAAAAAAAAGUGAGUGGACAUCAAAUCUAUUGUAAAAAAGAAGGGAACGGAGAGGGCAAGAGAGUUGAAAAAAACCGGAGGAGGGAAGACGACAAUCCAGCUGGACCCACUGGAGGAGAAAUUGUUGGGGGCGAUUGCCGAAACGUUAGUUGAAGGAGUAGAUGGAGGAGUGGACACUGGAGAACCGGGAGAAGACGAUAGCCUGCAAGCAGGAGAUACUUUGGUCGUAAUAGCAGUCAACCAGGAUGCAGAACCAUCCCACACAAUCAAUGCAGCUGAACCAACCCAAGCCCUUACAAACCAUCAAAACCUGUUACAGAGUCCCGGAGAUGACCUGACAUUAUGCCAGCUAUUCUUGGAAACCUUUCAUACACCUGCCACAUCCAGAAGCAACACGGAGGACAUGGUCUCCCUUCAGCGUCAGCUUUUGGAGGAAGUUAAAAUGCUGAGGCAUACUCCGGAGCAACUCCUGCAGGUGGAGAGGGAGAAGCUGCUCGUCGAGAGGGAGAAGCUUCGCCUUGCCCAAGACAAGUUUGAUUUAAAAAAAAAUGAAUGUUGAACCUAGAAUAAAAUAGCAAUCACUCAGAGGUUUUCAUGUGUUGUUUAUUGUGGUUUUUCUUCACAUGAAUCUCCUCCUUAUGAGGUCUUGUCUCACUUGCAUGCCAGUGUUGCAUGGGGCAGGGACUGGGACAUCUCCCUCGGGGUCAUCAUCUUCUGGGAUGUCAGGGAUUGGCAAGCGGUACAUAAUGCAGAUGUUGUGGAGGAUAAAAGCACAGGUAAUAAUUGUACAUGCCCUCUCAGGAGCAGGGGCGGAUCUAGCCAUUUUGGGGCCCUAGGCAAAAUAUAGACAUGGGGCCCUCAUUUUUGAAACACGUACACAAAACAAAUAACCAUCCCAAUACUCUUAGAAUCGCAAUAAACCCAUAGUGCACUGCCACUCAACUCUCCACAGUAAAAUCAGUUUCAGAUUUCUCCAGCCUUUGCCAAAAUUACAUGUUUAUUACUCAAACGAGAGAGAGAGAGAGAGAGAGAGAGAGAGAGAGAGAGAGAGAGAGAGAGAGAGAGAGAGAGAGAGAGAGA